AACGAACGCUGGCGGCAGGCUUAACACAUGCAAGUCGAACGCCCCGCAAGGGGAGUGGCAGACGGGUGAGUAACGCGUGGGAACAUACCCUUUCCUGCGGAAUAGCUCCGGGAAACUGGAAUUAAUACCGCAUACGCCCUACGGGGGAAAGAUUUAUCGGGGAAGGAUUGGCCCGCGUUGGAUUAGCUAGUUGGUGGGGUAAAGGCCUACCAAGGCGACGAUCCAUAGCUGGUCUGAGAGGAUGAUCAGCCGCAUUGGGACUGAGACACGGCCCAAACUCCUACGGGAGGCAGCAGUGGGGAAUAUUGGACAAUGGGCGCAAGCCUGAUCCAGCCAUGCCGCGUGAGUGAUGAAGGCCUUAGGGUUGUAAAGCUCUUUCACCGAUGAAGAUAAUGACGGUAGUCGGAGAAGAAGCCCCGGCUAACUUCGUGCCAGCCGCCGCGGUAACAC
rnacentral:rRNA from 1 species